GCGGCGGGGGAAGCACGAUCUCCGGGCGGGUUUCCCCAACCAGGAGGAAAGUACCUAACGUCCCUGCUGGCGCCGGCGGGGCCGGGCCGCCCUCCCUCCCUUCCUCCCUCCCUCAGGGAACGGGCGGGCGGAACGGAGGAGCCCAGCUGAGGGGCAGCCCAAGGGAAGGUUCGCCCCGCCUGCGGCCGCCGUAGAAAGCCGCUCCCUGGGGAGGCCAGGCACAGCCCACAGGCCGGCGGCUCCCCCCCGACCCGGCGGGAGGGAGGGGCGGGAGGAGGAGAGGCCCCGCCCGGCCGGCCUCCCCGCCGUCAGGCCCCGCGUACGCCCGGCCGGGGCUUUCCCGGUGCGUCGGCCCCACUCGGAGUUUCCGGGCAGGGGCGGCACCGGCCGGGGGCAUCGCUCUCCCUUGCCGGUCACCGUAUAUAGGCCGGGGCGCGCAGCAGGCCCGCCCGCUGCGGGGGGCCCGGGCCGGAGAGCGUUUUGUUCCACCCGAAAGAAUUAAAUGAUUGAAACUACAGAUAGUUAACAAUUUCUUCUUGCGCACAGUGUGUAUCAAUAUGGAGGCGUAGGCACCUUAGAAGGGACUUCAGUCUGAACUCUGGGAGGUAGUUCUGUGCACAGAUAAAGAAACUAAGGCUUCAAAUUUUUUUUUUUAAAUCUGAGGAUUCUGUUUGCUUCUGUAUGCCAUAAACAUGGCAUACAGAAGAAACUUAAUUCAACAGUAUAAAGCAUUAGAAUGUCCCGACACAAGGCAAUUGAUUUGUGUUAAAUUUGAUAACUCUAUACUUGUAACUAAGGCACCAGGUUAAAACUGAGAUGCUGUGUUCAAUCUGCGCAGACAAUGUUAUAGACAGAAAAGCCUGGGACUGUUCCAGGCUUGUUAAUUAAGGCAGUUCAUCCUUCUCAGAGACAGUGUAUAGGAUUUGUUUAUCUCGUAGCUGAAUAUUCGAUGUAUGUGAAGUUGAGUAUGUACUAACUUCUGUAGUCUUAACGAUUAUUACAACAAUAUGCACAAGUUGAGGGCUUUUUUGGAAGUCUAGUAUACCAGUGAGUUCCAGGGCUUUUUUUUUUUUUGUGCGUUUUGAGCUUGAUAAACCAUUAUUUUCAGCCUCCUAAAGAGGUUUAGAAACUAAAAGCUUUACAUGUGUAUAAGCUGUGUAUUUAUCAGCUGUCUAGGUUGAAAUAGUUCUUAAAUCACUUAAUGGAUGUUCUGGUCAAAAACGACAUUGUUGUAGUUGCCCCCCCAUUUUAGUUUCUUUAUUGACAAAGGAUUUUGAUAAACCCUUUUGAGGUCUUUCCUCUCUGGAUAUCACCUUCACGAGCCUGAAAAGCUGGUGCUGCUCUCCCAGAUAUACUGCACAAGGAAAGCAUGUGAUGCCUGUAUGAUUCAAGGGAAAGUCCUUUUUGACAUGCAUUCUUCAGUUAUCAAAAUGUGCUGGAGCAGCUUUUGUACAGAAAGCAGUUCUGUAAACUAAAGUGUAAGAACUUCCUAAAUUUUAAAG
rnacentral:lncRNA from 1 species